GCGGGGGUUGCCAAGCCUGGUCAAAGGCGUAGGACUGAGGCUCCUAUCCUGUAGGGGUUCGUGGGUUCAAAUCCCACCCCCCGCA
rnacentral:tRNA from 1 species